GGGGAUUUAGCUCAGUGGCAUAAGCGCCUGCCUUACAAGCAGGCUGUGGUGAGUUCAACCCCCG
rnacentral:tRNA from 1 species